CAAGCUUGAAUAUUUAAACUUGCAGCAAGUAUCUUCGAUGAUAGAUCCUUUCUGACUCCAACUCAUUUUUUUCUUUGAUAUCUACUACUGCUAUAAAGUCCCAGUUUAUCAUAUAACAUUACAAUUUAUGGUGUAACCAGCUUGGGUACUGACUAUAAACCCUUCAUCAAUGCCACUGUAAAGGGUUUAUAGUCCAUAAAUAGAAGAGCAAGACUGUCUUUCCUCCUUGUUUUGCCCACGACACGGCACUUCAGACAUGUCAGCCUAGUUAUUUGUUUUACAUGCUGGGUGAGUUACGGGAACAUAAGUGGAUGCACUGUUGUGCCUCUCCAAAAUCCAGAGACAAUUCAGGGUCACGGGGGAGAUUAACCGUGUAAGCCUGGCUGAAAGAUGGAAGAGAACAAGUCUGUUCUUAUUAUAUUAUUAAUCUGUAGGUAGGAAAGAAAAGAAAUCUCCAAAUUUCAGAAUUAGGAACGUGCUCUUAAUUUUGAAACCAAGCACCCAUGUAGUAAUGUCACAUCUGGAAUUAAUAACACAUAAUUCUACUGUAUUCACCAUUUUUCAGUAACCUGUUUCAUAUGCUCUUCAUAUGCUCUUCAUAACCUGUUUCAACUCUUUUUAUGGGAAGAGCACACGAUAAAACGUUGUUUCAAAUUUAACUCUGGUUCUGAUUGUGUGUUACUGAGACAAGUCUCUGUGUCUGAUCAAUGCUUUUCUCACCUAUAAUUAAUUAAUUCAUGCCAAAGUAAUUUUAAUUUUCUCAGUCUUCAUUAUUCUACGGUACGAAUACUGAUGUUGAUGGUGAUAAUCAGGGUGAUGAUGGUAAUGAUGAUUGUGAUGAUAAUGCUGAUAACUAAUGACUGUGAUAACUAAUGAUAACUAAUGGUUAUGUUGACUUUAUAACCAGGCAGUUUUAAGUGCCUUUUGCACAUUGUCUCAUUUAAUCACAACCUCAUUUUACAUAUGAGUAUGCUGAGACUUAGAAUGGCUAAAUGUCUUGCCCAUAGCCACAUAACUUGUGUUUUAAACUGGGAUUUGAAUGCAGCACUCUGCCUCGUUUGUGCUAUUCUAAACAUGUCAUUAUAUCACCUUUUAUAAAGGCAGGUUCAAAUUAAUGGUAAUGAUUCAAAUUUUGUUUGCCUUUCUCCUACCUGGAUAAUGAAAUUGUCAAUCCCUCCAAAAUCUUCCUAAAAACAAUUUCAGGAGUUCAGAACACAGAAUUUCUUCUCAUUUGUAUCUGUUUAGCCUUGCUGCCUGCAAAGCCACUGAUCAUGGUGCCUCAUGCCUAGAGCCAGAGCCCAGGAUGAACAAUUGAUGUUUCCCUGCUAACAGUAGACCAGAUCUCCACUCCUGAGGAGAGAAAGGUCACCAAGAAAAAAAUAUUUCGGGAUUUCAUUCUACACUUUGCAAAAGGAAAAGAAAUCUUGGGCCCCCAAAAUCACUAAGGCAAAAGGAAGUCAAACAGUGAACUGAGUCAAGCAUACCUGCCUCCAUUUUAUUGCUAAAUAAGAUAGCUACAACGAUAAAAAAGCUACAAUUUGCUCACAAGGAAAUUGCGUUUGGACAAAAGACAGACAGAACUCAAACUCAUCCCUCUGCUCACCUGAGACAAAUGCACAUCUGAUUGCUUCCUCUGCCCUAUUUUUUCACUAACCCAGACUAAGGCAUAAGUGACUAUUCCUCUACCCUCCUCUCACAGGUAAAUUGUGUAUUCAGUAAAAGGUUCAUCAGAGACUCAAAGGAAUGCAACUUAUUUACCUAUGACCUGGAAACCCCUUCCCUGCCUCAAGUUGUCCCGCCUUUCUGGACCCAACUUAUGGACAUCACAUAAUGAUUGAUGUCUCAUGUCUCCCUAAAAUGUAUAAAUCCAAGCUGUGACCCAACCACCUGUGCCUCAACCCAGACAGAAGAGGGAAUUUGCUACAGGAAAGGGGUCCCAAUCCAGAUGCCAAGUGAGGAUUCUUGGAUAUUGCACAAGAAAGAACUCAGGGUGUGUCCAUAAAGCGAAAGCAAGCUUAUUAGGAAAGUAAAGGAAUAAGAGAAUGGCAACUCCAUAGACAGAGCAGCCCUGAGAGCUGCUGGUUGCCCAUUUUUAUGGUUAUUUCUUGAUGAUAUGCUAAACAAGGGGUGGAUUAUUCAUGCCUCCCCCUUUUAGACCAUAUAAGGUAACUUCCUAAUGUUGCCAUGGCAUCUAUAAAGUGUCAUGGCGCUGGCGGGAGUGUAGCAGUGAGGACCACCAGAGGUCACUCUUGCGGCCAUCUUGUUUUUGGUGGGUUCAGGCCGGGUUCUUUACUGCAACCUGUUUUAUCAGCAAGGCCUUUAUGACCUGUAUCUUGUGCCCACCUCCUAUCUCAUCCUGUGACUUAAAAUGCUUUAAACGUCUGGGAAUGCAGCCCAGUAGGUCUCAGCCUCAUUUUAUUCAGCCUCAUUCAAGAAGUUGUUCUGGUUCACAUGCCUCUGACAGAUUCAAGGGCAGAGACCAACUGGGGAUUAUUUCCUGGGUGAAACCGGGGAAGGCAGCUGGCCUCACACGGAGGUUCAUAUGAUGGCCACAUUUGACAUCAAUAGAGGAGGAAAUACACCAGAAAGGCUAACAGAAGCCUACUGAGCUUGCUGUGGUCCCAAAGGAAGAGCAGAAAGAGCUGGGAGACAGAUGCUCCAAGAGGCAGCAACUUUGGGACAGUCAAGGCACAAAGUAACCUGAAGCCUGUGGACCAGAUGGAAAAUAUCUACAGCGCAAUUUCCAAUUAAGGUCAAUGCAUACAGGUGGCACUGAUAGGAGAGGCAUACAGUUGGUCAGUAGUAGUAACGAUCAUCCCAGCAAAUUCUAGUGUGGAUAGACAAUGAUAAAUGCACAAGAAAAGUUAUCUUUCCUAAGCAGUGUUAAAAAUACCCUUUGCAAUGUAUAUGAAACUCUAACAAGAAUACAUAGGAGCAAUCCCUGAGUCAGUCUGAAAAAAAUAGAUUUAACUGAGGUUAUCUUAAAGUGAUUUACUUACUUGUUUAUUUAUUUUUCAAGACAGGGUCUUGUUCUGUCACCCAGGCUGGAGCGCAGAGGGAGCAAUCCUAGCUCACAGCAGCCUCAACCUCCUGGUCUCAAGCGAUCCUACCAUCUCAGCCUCCUGAGUAGCUGGGACUACGAGGGCCCACCACCAUGCCCAGCUAAUUAAAAAAAAUUUUUUGUGUAUAGACCAAGCCUCUUUACAUUGCCGAAGCUGGUCUCAAACUCCUGGGCUCAAACAAUCAUCCCGGCUUGGCUUCCCAAAGUGUUGGUCUUACAGGGGUGACCCACCACGCCCAGCUAUCUUAAAGUGAUUUAGAUUAAGAUUCUAUUCUGCUGCAAGGUAAUCUGGAGACUUUUAACAAAAAUUAAUUUCCAUUAUUAAAAAAUUGAGAUGUAUAUAUUUCCUGCAAAUGACUAUGCACUGACAGUAUUUAAUUGUUAAACCUGUGAGAUGAUUUUCUUUUGGGUAAAAGACUCUCCUUGGAUGAACUUCCAGACAAGUGACCACAAUGAAUGGGGCUUCUAGGAGGAAGGCAGCUCUUGCAGGGAUCCUGGGGAAAUGUGGUUUCAAAACUGGGGUGAGAAUGAAGGCCCAAUUUUGAGUUGUGGCCAUUUUUCUGAGACCUUAUCUCCACCCCACUAAAAAUCCCGGGGAGGAAGGGGGCAAGAAACCAGCUCUCUCCCACAUUUGCUGUCAUGUCUGUACCUUUGCAACACCAGACAAAUGGACCAAGGCUGCAUUUGAGACAUUAGAAGGAUUUUUCUCUUUGGAUUUCUGCUUUGCUCUCUUGUAUACAAGAAGGAUAAAUAAUGUUGGAACAUAAUAAAAAUGCUUUCAGUCCCCUGAAGCUAAGAAAGCAUUUUAACGUAGUGAGUGAUGUUGCAAAACCUUCUUUAUCAAGAAACAUGAAGAAAAAGCUUUUCAGAUCUGGCUGCGUACCAGAUCUCUGUGUUAGAGACACCUCCCCAGAGAUGGCCGGGGAGAGGCUUGAUUGGAUGGUACUGCUCUCAUGCCGUCUAGCAGCUGAGAGCUCAGGACACAGAGGCACCUGGCUUUUCAGGAGCUGCUCCCAUUCCCUCUUAAGCCUCAUCUCUUGCCACAAAUUUACCAGGCCCUCCCACCCCUGCCCAAGCAAGC
rnacentral:lncRNA from 10 species